GUGAGGAAUAUUGCGCAAUGGAGGCAACUCUGACGCAGCCAUGCCGCGUGCAGGAAGAAGGCGCUACGCGUUGUAAACUGCUUUUAACCGGGAAGAAACCCCAGGACGUGUCCUGGGUUGACGGUACCGGAGGAAUAAGCACCGGCUAACUUCGUGCCAGCAGCCGCGGUAAUACGAAGGGUGCAAGCGUUAUCCGUAUUCAUUGGGUUUAAAGGGUGCGUAGGCGGAGCGUUAAGUCAGUGGUGAAAUCCUGCAGCUUAACUGUAGACUUGCCAUUGAUACUGGCGCUCUUGAGUGCGCUUGAAGUGGGCGGAAUGUGCCGUGUAGCGGUGAAAUGCUUAGAUAUGGCACAGAACACCAAUUGCGAAGGCAGCUCACUAAGGCGAUACUGACGCUGAGGCACGAAAGCGUGGGGAUCGAACAGGAUUAGAUACCCGUGUAGUCC
rnacentral:rRNA from 1 species